CGUUUGCAACCUUCCUCUAACUGGAGAAUAGCCCGAAGAAAUUCGGAUUAAUACUCCAUAAAGUCAAUUUAAGGCAUCUUUUAUUGAUUAAAGCUCCGGCGGUUAGAGAUGGGCAUGCGUGUCAUUAGCUAGUUGGUGAGGUAACGGCUCACCAAGGCCACGAUGACUAGGGGGUCUGAGAGGAUGAUCCCCCACACUGGUACUGAGACACGGACCAGACUCCUACGGGAGGCAGCAGUGAGGAAUAUUGGGCAAUGGACGCAAGUCUGACCCAGCCAUGCCGCGUGCAGGAUGACUGCCCUAUGGGUUGUAAACUGCUUUUGUUUGGGAAGAAACCCCCGAUCGUGAUCGGGGCUGACGGUACCAUACGAAUAAGCAUCGGCUAACUCCGUGCCAGCAGCCGCGGUAAUACGGAGGAUGCAAGCGUUAUCCGGAUUCAUUGGGUUUAAAGGGUGCGCAGGCGGAAUAUUAAGUCAGUGGUGAAAUCCUGCAGCUUAACUGUAGAACUGCCAUUGAUACUGAUAUUCUUGAAUAUAGUUGAGGUGGGCGGAAUGUGUAAUGUAGCGGUGAAAUGCUUAGAUAUUACACAGAACACCAAUUGCGAAGGCAGCUCACUAAACUAAUAUUGACGCUGAGGCACGAAAGCGUGGGUAGCAAACAGGAUUAGAUACCCUGGUAGUCCGCGCUGUAAACUAUGAUCACUCGCUGUUGGCAAUACAUCGUCAGCGGCUGAGCGAAAGCAUUAAGUGAUCCACCUGGGGAGUACGGUCGCCAGAUUGA
rnacentral:rRNA from 1 species